AGGCUUAACACAUGCAAGUCGUGCGAGAAGUAUCUUCGGAUAUGAGUAGAGCGGCGGACGGGUGAGUAACGCGUAGGAAUCUACCUAGUAGAAGGGGAUAGCCCGAGGAAACUCGGAUUAAUACCGUAUACCUCCUUCGGGAGAAAGAAGGCCUCUCUUUGAAGCUUUCGCUACUAGAUGAGCCUGCGUAAGAUUAGCUUGUUGGUGAGGUAAAGGCUCACCAAGGCUACGAUCUUUAGCGG
rnacentral:rRNA from 1 species